rnacentral:misc_RNA from 1 species
UGUCUGCAGUAAAAUUUCGCUCCUGAAUCAUGAGAAUCAAAAGGUCAAUACAUAAACCUACAAAAAGAAAUGCAAAGUAUUCAUGUCACUCCAAAGAACAUGCAGGAGACUGAUCAUAAUUUAGUUCACGAUUCCUAAGGACAUUAGUUCUGAAACAGAAAAAAAAAACUUACACUCUUGUAGUCAGAUUUGCACCGUUUGUACGCAAAUCAAAAUGACAGUUAAACAAUCAAAUAAUUGUCAGUGAGGAAAACUUAAUGAUUAAAUCAUCAGCAAUGCAGUUACUAAAUAGAAGUAAUAUCUAAACUGUUCUUGGUUACAAUUUUUCACACUACAGGUUUUCAUCAAAUCCAACAAGGGGAUAUUAUUGCUUUCAUCAAUUUCAUAAAACAUCAUAAAUUGGAUUAUGCAAUUACAAGUAUAGUUCUGGAUAAUGGCAACAGAUAAGUGCUACUCAAUUCAACUCAGCUAAGCCUUUAUCUCAAGAAUUUGGGGUCAAUUAUAUGGAUUAUCUUUCUAUAUUCUAAAUAUUUUGGGUUAAAUCCUCGAAAAUGUGUAAUGCUUCUAGGUCAUAUUGUACUACUCUCGGUUUCUUUAUGGUUAAUAAUGGAAGUUAAUCAUAAUGUGUUUUCUCUAUUGCAGGCAUCACCCAUGACUAUUGGA